rnacentral:rRNA from 1 species
CAUUCUUGUUCGGUUUAAAACCAUUACGUUCCUCCGCUUAUUGAUAUGCAAGAGACCGAUAGCGAACAAGUACCGUGAGGGAAAGAUGAAAAGAACUUUGAAAAGAGAGUUAAAAGUACGUGAAAUUGUUGAAAGGGAAACGCUUGAAGUCAGUCAUGUUAACGGGAAAUCAAUUAAAAUAAAAUAAGCUUGCUUAGUUUAUUUUGAUGUAAUUUCUCGUUUAACAGGUCAACAUUAAUUCUUUUCGUUAUAAAAAGGUUGGGGGAGUGUAGUUCCUCUUAGGAAUGUUAUAGCCCUUGGCUUACAUAAUGAUUAGGAUUAAGGAUUGCAACGAAUACCUUUUAAGGCUAAUUACCCAGCCUCUGAUGAUUAUAUCGUCAUUAACAGCUUGCUGAUAAUGAUGAAUAUGAUAUCAAUAGGCUAG